AUUGAACGCUGGCGGCAGGCUUAACACAUGCAAGUCGAACGAGUGGCGGACGGGUGAGUAAUGAUUGGGAAUCUGGCUUAUGGAGGGGGAUAACGACGGGAAACUGUCGCUAAUACCGCGUACCAUAGGAUGAGCCCAAGUGGGAUUAGGUAGUUGGUGGGGUAAUGGCCUACAAAGCCGACGAUCUCUAGCUGGUCUGAGAGGAUGACCAGCCACUCCGGCACUGAGACACGGCCCGGACUCCCUCGUGAGGCAGCAGUGGGGAAUAUUGCGCAAUGGGGGGAACCCGGACGCAGCCAUGCCGCGUGAAUGAAGAAGGCAUUCGGGUUGGAAAGUUCGUUCAGCUGGGAGGCGUUACCCGCAGAAGAAGCACCGGCUAACUCCGGGCCAGCAGCCGCGGUAAUAC
rnacentral:rRNA from 1 species